GAAAGUGGAAAGUUGAGGGUCGCAGCGGAGCCUUGAACCCUUUUACCACUGGACUGCUCGAGUUCAGCAGGUAGAAUGCCCUGAAAUCUCUUCAGUGCCGGUGGAUGCACCUGGACUAAGCCCGUCGAAAAUUCCAACUUUUGAGACGCUGCAAGUCACUUCGGAUUCCGUGUCGUCGGAAGCGGCCGAGCCGGCUGACCGAAGCCUAACGUCGACUUCGGCGUUUCCGCACGCCGCUUCGGUGCCGACGGACGCGGCUGAACCGAGCUCGCGUGCUCAACGCUUCGACACGGUGUUUUUCACGGAGGCGAAGUGCGCGGGGCGCGAAAAAUACGCAGACAACAUUAAAACUUCAUUGGCGAAGAAGUCCGCGACUUCCCGCAAGUUCGAGCUAAUGAACGUCGGCACAGGAAGUGAAGACGACGAUCGCGGCACAGAGUACAUCAUCGUUGAUCUCUCUGUGCUAAAGAAGCUGUUUGCAUCCUCAAGCUGCAGCAAGUGUGGGAUGGCCACUCUCCAACUCGCAAAGUGCAGUGAGAGAGAGCAGUGAGAGAACCAGCAGAGCUGUUGCAGCACAGCUUGGUUACAGUCCUGGGAGGUGCCUCAUUCGUAGGAGCCUUGAAAAAGAUAAACAGAGGCUGUGCAGGUCUGAUAAAAGUCACACCAAUGCUGAAAAGGUGAAGAAGAAGAUGGCAAAGAAGCACAAGCCUGACAGAACCCAGGACUACUGUCCAGGACUUUUGUGAAUGUGUGGCAGAUUCAUAGAAAAUAGCAAGUGACUUUCUGAGCUUUUUUUUUGUCAAGUGCCAAUGCAAUACAGAGGUUUUCACAAUCUUUACAUGAACAGA